GAUCUCAACUCAUACGACACCCCCCCCUGAAUUUAAUCAUAAUAAGAAGCGGAGGAAAAAAACCCCCCCAGG
rnacentral:rRNA from 1 species